AUUGAACGCUGGCGGCAUGCUUUACACAUGCAAGUCGAGCGGCAGCGCGGGGGCAACCCUGGCGGCGAGCGGCGAACGGGUGAGUAAUGCAUCGGAACGUAUCCUCGAGUGGGGGAUAACCCAGCGAAAGUUGGGCUAAUACCGCACGAGCUCUGAGGAGGAACGCGGGGGACCUGCGAGGGCCUCGCGCUGGUGGAGCGGCCGAUGUCCGAUUAGCUAGUUGGUGGGGUAAAGGCUUACCAAGGCGACGAUCGGUAGCUGGUCUGAGAGGAUGAUCAGCCACACUGGGACUGAGACACGGCCCAGACGACUACGGGAGGCAGCAGUGGGGAAUUUUGGACAAUGGGGGCAACCCUGAUCCAGCCAUGCCGCGUGAGUGAAGAAGGCCUUCGGGUUGUAAAGCUCUUUCGGACGGAACGAAAUGGGCGGGACUAAUACUCCUGUCUGAUGACGGUACCGUAAGAAGAAGCACCGGCUAACUACGUG
rnacentral:rRNA from 1 species